UGCCCUUAAAAACAAGUUAUUGUUUGAAAACUACAAAAAUGCUUAUUUUGGGCCCCCUUUUGGGCCCCUAAUUCCUAAACUAUAGGGACGGUACCAUAACCCCAAAAAAUCAAUCCCAACCUUCCUUUAGUGGUAUUGGACCUUCUGGUAAAUAUUUAUAGUGAUCCAUUCACUAAAUCUAAAGUUAUUGUCCGGAAAACCUAGUUUUUCCCCUUUUUUUGCCCCUAAUUUCGUCUGUUUAUUACCCCUAAUUCCAAAACAUUUUGAGCCAUAACCCCCUAAAGUCAUAACUAACCAUCCCGUCAUGGUAUGGAAACUUGUGGUAUAAUUUCAGAGAGAUUCAUACACUUAAACACAAGUUAUUGUUAGAAAACUACAAAAAUGCUUAUUUUGGGCCCCUUUUUGGCCCCUAAUUCCUUAACUAUUGGGACCAUAACCCCCAAAAUCAAUC
rnacentral:lncRNA from 1 species